CAGGACACAUACAACAUUUUUUUUUUUUUUUGGUACCAGGGAUCAAACUCAGGACCUUGCGCUUGUGAGGCAGGUUUCGGAACCACUGAGCUAAAUCCCCAGCCGAACAUAUACCACUUUUAAGGGAAACCUGGAGUGCCUGCUGGUCCUCAAGGUCUCUCAGAUGCUAAUGUAACCCUCAGCAUGGGUAAACACCGAGGAGCUGCCUUCCAUUCCUUCCUCCAGCAAGGCCCCAGCCCCGGCAGCACCUUGAGCUCUGAACUCUUCCCAAGAUGCUGUGCGCCCCUCACUCUCAGCGCCUCAGAAUUGGAAGCUCUCUGGAAAGAGGAAGAGGCAGGGAGGAUUCUCCCUACAGGCUUCAGAGGCCGCGUGGCCCCAUGACACCUUGAUUGUGACUUCUGGUCUCCAGAGCCAGGAGACAGCACGCUGUUGUUGUUGCAGUUACUGUUGCUGUUGUUGUGAAUGCCGGUGUGUGCUACUUGGUCGUUGCAGCUCUGGGAGGUUACAUGGCCCACUCCCAGUCCUAGGCUCAGAGAAAAUUGGUUCUUUUUCCCCCUUUAGCCUCAAUGAAAUGUUCAAGAAAAUAUGUUUGGUUUGAGCUUACUUUUUUGAAGCAGUAAUUAUAACGUCUUCUCAAAAUAUUUCAUAUGUUUACAGCUGUACAUUUUUGCACGUUGGGCAAUGUGUGGCAUAUAUGGGGCAGGCAAAUAAACAAAGGAAGAGAUAGGCAAAGUUCCUCCCCAAACAGAAAGAAAGCUCUACAACUCCCUCUCCUCCCUGAUUUUUUUGUUUUUAAAUGAAACUCAAAGAAGUACUUAUUUGUUUGUUUGUUAGUACUGGGGAUUGAACCCAGGGCUUUUGCACCGAGCUACAUCCAGGCAAAACUCAAACCUGCAGACUCCUGCCUCAGCCUCCUGGAGGGCUGGGGUUAUAGGCUUGCACCACCACGCCCGGAUUUUACCCCAUCUGGAGGGUGCUGGAUGGAACCCAGGGCCCCUGCAUACCAGGCACGCACUCCACCACUGAGCUAAGUCUCCUGCCCUCCCCGAAUCUUUUAAAAAGUAAAUUUGCUGAGAACUGCCUGACUCCUUCCAUCUCAGAACUGAACACUUAUUUGUUUAGCCUGAGCAUCUCUGCCCUGCCCCCCCCCCCCAAAAAAAAACCCCAGGAUGGCAAUUUCCUGGAUGUGGGAUCGUCUUCAUCUCAAGAGUGCCUUUCUCCUCUGCUCCCUGGAGUGCCUGCCGCAGGACAGCUUCCCUUUGGUGCCCGGAGACAAACCCAUAGGCUGGCAGCCAGGAAGCGAGCCUGCCUCCAGCCAGUGCAGAUCCGGGAAUCUGUGGAUCCGCCUGACUCUGGUUGCUGACUAAGUGGCCUGGCGUUGAGUGCCUGCCUGUUGGGGCCACCUGACCUCAUGCCUGAGCGGUUCUCAUGGUGUCAGCUUGUACUGUGUCAGGGCCUCCUUCGCCAGGAGCUCAUGCCUCCAAAUGCCUCACUUGCUCACUGUCACAAUGGGCCACAUCACCAAUGACAGCAGCUUGAGGCGCUCAUCAAGCCUGAGCAGUCUGGCACAAGGGGACAAGGGUCCUUUUUAAAGCCAGGCACGCCUGUCAUCCCAGCACUUGGGGAGGCUGAGGCAGGAGGAUCACAAGUUCAAGUCCUGCUUAGACCACUUGGCAAGACCUGUCUUAAAGAAAAACAAGAAGAAAGGGGCUGGAGAGGUAGCUCAGCACAAAGGUCCCCGGGUUCAAUCACCAGUGCUGAGAAGAAGAGAAAGGAAGAUAUGAGAUGUGCCACACUGGGGUUUCGGUUGCUAAGGCAGCCCCCUUCUGGCCCAAGUCCACCCAGAACCUCCCCUAGAGACCCCAGCCAUCAGCCAGGUCCUGCUGUGCAGUGACUGUGAGCAGUGAUCUCGAAGAGUGCGCUGGAGAAACAGGCUAGGAAAGGACCUUGCGGCUGAAUAGGGAAGGGUUUGGACAGGAAACAGAGCCCCAAGGACACUGCCUGGCACGGAGGAGCUUCCACGUUACAUGAGGCCUGGGGCUACCUGGGCCAAGGUGCCUUCUGUUCUCUCCUGGUGACAGGCACUGACCAUGCCAUACAGCCGGGACCACCGGCACCCAGCACUGCAGAGCUGCAACCUGCGCCUGGCUGAGCAAGGUUGCCCCAUCCGGGAACUUCGUGAUGUCUCUGCAGAGAAUUCUCUGGGUGUCCAGCCCAGGCCCUUGAACGAUGUGAACAUCGGUCCCAGCAUUCCCAGCUGUCAUCCGGAGGCCAGGGCUCCCAGCAGGGAAUGGAAGGUUCUGGAAGCCACACUUACAGAGGUCUUUGGAAAGUGACCUUCUCUGGAGGACUCCUUAGUUGUGUUAGUGGAACCGAAUUCCCUGGACUCCCAGGCAAAGACUCUGCUGCAGGAUUCUCCAAAAAACAAGCAGACAAAAGCAUAUCUCGAAUGGCAAGUCACAGUGUCCUCAAGGUAGAGCUGGAGAAACGGGGAUACAAAAGGGAAGCAGGUGUUCUCUGUGAGGUGACAGCCAUUCAUUCCCUGUCUCACGCACUCACGGAUUCAUUCAUGCAUUCAGCAGACGCUUUCUGAUUGGCUGCUGUCGGCCACGCCCAUGUAACGCUCUUGGGAAAUGGAGACAGAGUCACAUAUGGUUGGGCCUAAGGAUCAGUCUGUCCGUGCGCGACUGGAAGAACUGUGGGAAGAAGAGAGCUCGACCUGGGGAGGGGAGCAGGGAGCCGUCUCCUUGCUUUCUGGCGGGGUCUUCACGUGGGCGGUCUUGGGUGUUUGUGAGAAAUAAGAGUAAAAUCUAGUAUCUCCUCGACACUGCACCCUGCUGGGGCUGCAUGGCUUGUCCUGAGUCCAUUUGUUCCUUCUUUUGCAAACCUGCCGGAGCCCCUGCUACGUAUCAGGCGGAAGGGACAUGUCCUGGACUCGGUGCCCAUAGCCUGAGGCCCAGGUGGCAACAUUGGACAACAUGGAAAAUCUUGUCCCAAGGAGCUCAGCGUCCAGGGAGAAGCCAGGUCAGCAAGCAGAGGGCAUCAAGGCUGGGGUGCUGACCCGAAUGGGGCCGCGGGGUGGGGACUAGUGCACAGGGCUGGGUUGGCCAAGUGAAGGAGCCAGGGCACUGGGCUGCAGAGGUGGGAUGUGAGAGGCGGCCUGGCCGCAGAUGUGGGUGGGCCCAUUCUCCAGGGCUUCCCAGUCCUGAAGCUGUUUGUUCAUCCACCAGCCAGCUACGAAGCCGGUAUGUAAGGGUGACGCGUAGUGCAGACAAGCCAAGACUCCAGGGAUUGGUUAGUGAGCGCCUAACAGGUGGCAAGCCACACUCAAGGGCAGGGGGCAGAUAGAAAUGGGGACUCGGCCUCUUGUCCUCAGAGAGGCCACAGCUAGAUGGAGACGGCGAGGUGCCCAGCCAGUUCCAGAGCGCUGGCUUUUAGAAGAAGCAGAGCCAGCCCACCAGCAGUGACUUUCCUGUUGGGUGGACCUGAUGUAGCUCCCACCUGGUAGGGAUAGCUCUUAAUUUUUUUUUUUGACACAGGGCCUCACUAUGUAUUUUGGGCUGGCCUUGAACUCCUGGCGAUUCUCCUGCCUCAGCCUCCUGAGUGCUGGGAUUACAGGUGUGCUCCACCAGGUCUGGCUAAGCUCUUGAUUUUUGCAACAGAAUGUCAGCUCUGUUGUAUUCCAGGCUGGUAUCUAAAGUAUGAGAAUCUGUGGACAGCCAUAUAUAUGUAUGAAGUAAAGUUCAUUUUUAUUUUAUUUCUAAUUAUAAAAUAACAUGAUCAUUGAAAAAAUACAGACAAGGUGAAAGAAGAUAACUUCUCUCAUUAUUUAACAUGUUUUCUUUUUCUUCAUGAUUUUACAUGGUUAUGACCACUGUAUGUACAAUGUAUACAUUGUAUGUAAUUUAUUUAUGUUGUUUUUAUUUUUUGUUAGUCCAUGCUUGCUGUGCACAGCGAUCACGCUCCUUGUGUGGAGCUGGCGCGUGCGCCUGUCGCAUCUUCAGUCUUUUUUCGUCCCCUCCCCUCCCCUUCUCCACUCUCCCUGCAUCUCUUCAUCCCCUUUCCGUUUGAGACAGAUCUAUCUCCUUACUUCCUGUUAUCUUAGGAAGAGUGCACCGCCUUGCCAGGAUUUAAUUUGUGUUAUGUUUAGUGAGUAUUUGCAGAGAGCUGCCUGUGUGUCCGGCCUGGUGGGGAAAGAGGACCCGAGUGUGGUCCACCCGCAGCUGCUCGGAGGCUGGGAGUAGCGUGUGAUCCAGCAGUGCCUCUGAGAUCCCCAAGCGCUCGGCCCCUGUGAACCUUCUGCUCUACGGUGGUCACGGCCCAGGCUGCUGGAGGGAGUUAGGAGUCGCCCGCUCCUCCUUCUGCCCUCCUGCGCGCUCCCCUGGGGCUGCAUGGGGAGCCCCACCCUCUGCCAGGGAAGUCUGUGCCUUGAGGUGCAGAGGACACCUGGGGCUGAGACAGUGACUCAUGUGUGCCCUGGGGCCAAGUUACUUCAUCUCCUCUGUUCUUCCUCUUUCAGAAUCUCGCAGCUAUAAAGGCUCGGUGGUGCGGUUACUGCAGAGCUGUAACGCGCCUGUGCACGCACGUGUGCGCGUGUGCGCUGGCCUUGCUGUUUAAUAGGGUGCUAAGGCAGCGGGGGGCUGCGCGGCCGCCCCCAGCCCCUCACGUGUGGCUCUCAUUACUGUCGGAGGCGUCAGCUCGGCCGUCAUUAGGAGCGGUUCCCACAUCCCAGCGCCUGCGCCCUGGCUUCGUGGCAGGGAGCCCAGGCGGGCCAAGCAGCCAGGCAUCGAAGGGACUCGGCGGGUUUCCACUUGGCUGAGCAGAAGAUGAAUGAGGCUCUGUCCCCCACAUGGGGUCUGGAAUCUUCAAUUACGGCAAUUACAUCAACAGGCCCUCCGCUGGAGAGGUCUGGGCUUCAGAGAAAACUCCUAAAGCCACUGGAUUUUCCCUUUCUUUUAACGGCACUGGGUUGAUGAAAGGAGACCCCAGCUCCCGUCUAAUUGGGCCCUGGGUGGCGAAGGAGGGUGGUCGUGAUUUCUCACAGGAUCUGGUGCUUUGUCUCAGGAUCUCCAGUCCACGGAGCCUCAGGACAUCGGGAUGGCCCUUGUUUGGUGUCAGAAGACCCGGCUCCAGUCACUUUGCCUCUCUGAUCCUCAGUGCCCACAUCUGUAAAAUGGGCAUAGUGCAUACCAAGACCCCCUCCUCCUAAGGCCUCAGAGACUCCGAACGCUACCCAGAUCCAGACCCACUGGCAGCAGCAACCACCCGUGGCUCUCAGCAGGAGAACACACGCUCCGGUGCACCCCAAAGGGGCAGCUUCCACCCUGGAGCAGCAGGAGUGGUUCCUGAGGGGCUUCUCGUCAUGAAGGCUCUGCCUGGCCGAGGCCGAGGCACCCGGCGUGGACAGGCGGCCUCAGUGUGGCGACACCAGGGUUUCUUCUCAACACAGCUCUCUGAGAAAGGGAUCCUGACCUGGCCGUGUGCAACAGCAGCACUCCAUGGGACCGGCCCUGGGCAGGGGAGAGCAGAGAGUUGUGAACCGCAGAAGGGAGGUGACGCCCCUCGCAGCUGCCCACGCUUUUCCAGCCCCAGGACAGCACACUGCCACUCCUACCUGUGAGCAGGGUGCAGCUGUGGACUCCUUGCCGGGGCCUUUAGGAAAGGAAAUGUGAAAUAACUGGGGCUGUGAGUCCCUGCCCCGUUCCUCACCCUAACCUGGGAGGCAGCGAUGAUGCUAACUCUGCACAGACACCAGGCCUGCGCGCUCACACGGUGGGUCAGAGCGAGGCGUGGGAUUUACACUGCGGAAGUCCCAGUGAGAGUUUGCUGUUUCUUGCUGCCACUUUGUCUCUCUCUCUCUCUCUCUCUCUCACACACACACACACACACACACACACACACACACACACACACACACGCACGCACACACGGAAUGGCAGAGAAUUAUAGCCGGGCAGUCAGAUGGUGGACAAUGUGCUGCGGAGCUUCAGAGGCGGAGAGAGCACGUCCGGAUGGAGAGUAUGGGCAGCCCGGGGUGGGGCAGGAAGGAGGCGGCUUUCGUUUCUGGGUCUCUGAGAGGCCAGAGUUGGAUGUUGCGCUCUGAGUCUAGGUGGGUGGCUUCUCACACCUGGAGAACCAAAGGCAGAGUCAGUUUAGUCCACGCUCUUGGCUCAGUGCGUGCUAUUCCCACACCAGGGAAGUCUGGAGGGCUGGGGGUGGAGUGGAAGUGGUUUUCAACUCAGUUUGACCAAGGAGCUUUCCUGGAAUGGGCCCUGGGGAGAAAUCCGAUGCAGCAGGGUCGAUUAGGAGCUGGAUUUUACUGUAGAUUUGGCAUAGCCUGACUCCCGCCCGCCCCACUGCUCCCUCUCCCCCUACGCCCCCACCCCUGCUGCCUUGCCUGGGCCAGCUCCGUGUUGGGUGGUGGAGGGGGGCACGGGUUUUGGCUCCCUGGGGUCUCACAGGGAGGGAUAAGGUUGCAGGCCUCAGGGCCCCAGUGUUUGCCUAGAAACUCAAGAAGAAUCCUCCAGGAUGGGCAGAGGGAUGUGGGGUGACCCGUGGAGGGGUGUAGGUAACCCGAGUCAAAGAAAAUAAGCCCGCUACAUGGUGCAGGCACUCAGAGAGCAGCUCACAGGCUGCCAGGGGCGUGCGGCUACUGGGAGCGGGUGAUGGGUCAGGGCAGAGCCAGUGUGCCCUGGGCCCUGGUGGGCGGGCGUGUGCCCUGGCUGGGCCCCUACCCCUCCGGGUGCCCCAGCUGUCUGCACCUGGCCAUGCCAGCAGUUGUGUUCCUGAGCUGGCCCUGGCCACAGCAAGUUGGGCUUCACCGGCCAGCCUGCCCCUCCUCCCACUCGGGAAGGAGAGGCUGGGGACAGCUCUGCAGACCUCGGGUGGUUUGGAUCAAGCCAAGGAGCUGGAUGAGCUGGAAGCCACCCUGUGUCCAGUGCUUGCUGAGACCUGGUGGACCCCCGGCCCUUCUGAAUCCUUGGACAGUGGGCACAGUGCCCGAGUGCCUCCUCUGGGGCUUCACGGGGCAAGCACAUUCCCCUUCCCUUCUGGGCCACCACAGGGCUCAGGGCCAGUGGGACCUCAGAGGGCCCUGGGCUGUGGCUGCUGAGCCCAAUAGGCGGCCACCUGGGAAGCUGUGACAAAGGCACAUUCCAGGCUCCCAGCCCAGAAGCUCUGGAUGCCCAAGUUGGACUCCUCCCGCCCUGUGAUUGAUUCUGCAGAUCCCACGCUCAAGGCCGCCGUCCCCUGGGGCAGUGGAGCUCUGCAGUGCGUCAGCAGUCAGCAGCUUGUGCUUGGCAACCACCUUGCUCCUUGGAUUUACUGUUCUCAUUAAGGCCAGCUCCAGACCCGCCAGAGGCAGGGCGCCCUGCGCAUGUGCAGCCAGCCUUGAAGGCUCCCUAAGCCUGUGCAGGUCCCCUGAGGGGCAGAUGGGAUCUGACCACGUUACCCAGGCUGGUUUUGAAUUCCUGGCUUCCUGAGUAGCUGGGACCACAGGCACACACUGCCAUGCCUGGCUACUAUGCUGUCCGAUCCCCAGGAUGUGAGCAUCUGAGAAUCUUGGUGUCUGCAGGGGCCCUGGAGCUCCUCCAAAUACCAAGGUGACUGUGUAGGUGAAGAGGGAGAGAAAACACACAUGGUGUGUAAGUAAAGGGUAGUAUAGUAAAACAGAUACAGACAUUCUUCAUACUAUUUUUAGUUUUGCAAUUUUUUUUAACUAUUCAAAAUUUUUUUUGAAAUAAAAACAUUGAUAAAGGGUGUGUGGUUUAUUCAAGGACACAGAGCAAAGGGGCAGUUGGAUGAGUGGUUUCCUUGUCCAAGAACAUCCCGGCCACUUCUUAUAGUCUCUGGAUUUAUAUAUUUUAGACUCAGUGUCAAUGCCAGCUUCUCUGGCUUCCUAGUUCUGUGUGUCCAGAUUUCAUGUACUUGUCUUUCCCCUUAUUGUGGCAGAUCGAAGUGAAUUCUUUUUUUGGUUGUUGAGCUUUGCUUUUUUGAGGCAGGGUCUUGAUAUCUAGUGUAGGCUGAUCUUGGACACGUGGCCAUCCUUCUGCCUCAGCCUCCUGAGUACUGUGAUCUCAGGUGUGCACCCCUACACCCUGUUAAAAGUGAAUUGUUUUUUCUUUUUGGUACCAGGGAUCGAACUUGGGACCUUGCGCUUGCAAGGUAGGCAGCGGAACCACCGAGCUAAAUCCCUGGCCCUGAAGUGAAUUCUUUGACAUUUCAUUUAUUUUGCUUUUGCUGCCUGUCAGUUCUGUGUGGAUAGGGCCUUGUGUGUCUUGUUCCUGGCUGAACCCCAAGGGCAGAGCCCAGUGGCUGUAUUACCGUAGGUGCCCAAGAAAUAUUUACUGGAAGAGUUAAUGAGUAAGUGAAGGAGAGAGACGCAUGGCCUCUGCCAGGCCACCCUCUUUGCUGUUGUGGAGCAGCCAUGACACAGAGGUGACCUGUAUUUCACCUGUGUGGCCAUGGGGAGCAGGGGCCGGGGCGCUCCAGUCCAGGGCCGCCCAGGCCCUGUGACCAAAGUGUGCCCAGGACCCCGGGCAUGUUUAUGUUAAUUCUGAAUACCAAAUGCAUCCAUUUACCCAAAAUCCCCAAAGCGGAAACACACAGAGUAGGGCAUGGGCCCCUUCCACCCUGCCCUCUCUGCUCCCAGCUGCUCUUACUGGUGUUCAUUUUCUGAAGGGCCCUCCGAUGUAUAUUGUUUAUUUACUUAUUUAUUUUGUUUCUUGACACAGCGUCUCAAUGUAUCAUUCAGGCUGUUCUUGAACUCAUGAGAUAAUCCAGGCUGGGCUUGAACUUGCAGUGAUCCUCCUGCCUCAGCCUCCGAGCACUGUGAUUCCAGGUGUGCACCACCGUGGGUAGUUUAGGCGUGCACAACCAAAUCUGUGUGAGCGUGGAUGUCCAUGCACUCUGGUUGUACUUUGCCUUGCUCAUGUAAUGACAGGUCACGGCCCGAUUUGUUUCAUAAGAGUUCCUGAAAGUCUGUCUUUGGUUUCGUUGGGAUUGGUUUCCUUGGGGCUGCUGCGCAUAUAUGGGUGUCGGUGGGUAAGUGGAAAUGCCUACAGGUCUACGAUCGAAGGAGCCAGCUCCAAACCUUCCCUGCUGUGCUGGGAGCCUCCUGCUGCCACGGGGAGUGAAGAGCACUGAGGAAUGACAGAGCAAGAGGCAGGGACCUCAGAGCACCCAAGUCCGGCAUGGUGAUCACCAGCUGCCAAAUCCAACGUGGCUACGAAGGCAAAGUACUCUGCAGCUGACUCAACUGGAAGGCACAGGGAGGGUAAGAUGUCAACUGCAGUUUGAAGAUUUAAUUUAAAAACGUAAAAACAUCUUAUAAAUUAAUAAUUUUUUUAUGUUUGUUACAAAUUGAAACUAUCAUAUUUUAAAUGUAUUGGUUAAGUAAAUAUAUCAUUGAAAUAAAAGUUCGCCUGCUUCUUAA